AAAUAAGAAGCAAAUAGAUGCAUUUAGUUUCGACCUAAAAAUUUGAUUWAUAUCCUUAUUUU
rnacentral:tRNA from 1 species